UACGUAGGGGGCUAGCGUUGUCCGGAAUCAUUGGGCGUAAAGGGCGCGUAGGCGGCCUCUGCAAGUCGACUGUGAAAUCUCCGGGCUUAACCCGGAAAGGUCAGCCGAUACUGCAGGGCUAGAGUGCAGAAGGGGCAACUGGAAUUCUCGGUGUAGCGGUGAAAUGCUUAGAUAUGACAUAGAACACCAAUUGCGAAGGCAGCUUACUACGCAGUUAUUGACGCUGAGGCACGAAAGCGUGGGGAUCAAACAGG
rnacentral:rRNA from 1 species